rnacentral:lncRNA from 1 species
AGAAUUCAAGGGAGCAACUUCGGCUGUGAAAAUUUCUCUAUACUUCCUUCAUUCGAAACUCGAACUCGAAAGUAGGGGGACUGGUGUUGGGUAUAAAAUACCCCCCAGUCGAAGUUCGUGUCAGGAGUGACCCUCCCGGGACUCUACCAGCAUCCAACCUUUGGCGACAUCUUUCCGAACCUCUCUAGUGGCCGAGCUUCUGCAAUGUUCUCAAGUUCUGCCAACGGAUAAACUCCCACAGUUUCUCCCACAAGUGUCGACCGGAUUCUCCCGACGGAUGAACUCCUGCUACAUCUCCCGGGCUUCUCCAACGAUAAGCUUCUUCAGUCAUCUAUCAGGCUGCUCCAAGUGCUCUCUGAAUUCCACUAUCGGCCGACCUCCUACAAUGGUCAACCAUUCUUUGGACCUCUUCUAGAUCUUUCCCAACAGGAUUCGAUCGACUCCAAUCCGAAUUUCUUCCAAAACUUCGUCAGUGGCCG